rnacentral:tRNA from 1 species
GGGGCGGUAGCUCAGUUGGUAGAGCGUUCGGUUCGCAAUCGAAAGGUCGGGAGUUCGAACCUCCUCCGCUCCA